rnacentral:rRNA from 1 species
CCUACGGGAGGCAGCAGUGAGGAAUAUUGGUCAAUGGGCGGGAGCCUGAACCAGCCAAGUCGCGUGAGGGAAGACGGUCCUAUGGAUUGUAAACCUCUUUAGGCGGGGAGCAAUGCCGGGCAUGUGUGCCCGGAGGGAGAGUACCCGCAGAAUAAGCAUCGGCUAACUCCGUGCCAGCAGCCGCGGUAAUACGGAGGAUGCGAGCGUUAUCCGGAUUGAUUGGGUUUAAAGGGUGCGUAGGCGGAUUUUUAAGUCAGCGGUAAAAUGUCCGGGCUCAACCCGGGCCGGCCGUUGAAACUGGGGAUCUUGAGUGGGCGAGAAGUAUGCGGAAUGCGUGGUGUAGCGGUGAAAUGCAUAGAUAUCACGCAGAACUCCGAUUGCGAAGGCAGCAUACCGGCGCCCGACUGACGCUGAGGCACGAAAGCGUGGGGAUCGAACAGGAUUAGAUACCCCGGUAGUC